AAAUUUUAAAUUAAAUUCAAAAAAUAAAAUUUAAGAAAUUUUGUAUCUGGAAAGUCAGAAGAAAAGUUACAAUUCCAAUAAAAGAAUAUUAAGAGUUUUUUCAAAAGAGAAGCUACAGCUAGAUGAGAUUUAAAAUAAAAGAAAUGGCUGAACUCUAGUAAGAGAUCAAAAACAUAAAAAAUGAAGCAAUGCGUGAUCAAAAUGAAACCCAAAAGCCAUGAGGUGAGAAGCUAAAAACCUGUUGGUAAAUGAAGCUAACAAUGACAUAGGAUUUGUAAACAUUAUAAAAUAAAAGGAAAAAUAUGUAGGAUAAAAUGAAAAUGGAAAGUUUUUCAAUUUGGAGUCAGGUGUAAGACAAAGCGGGUGAGGAGGAACAGACCAGACAAUAAGUUCCUGUGGACAUGGUUUCCAGCGACUGCUCCUCCUUCUCCCAGUCAGUGACCUCCACCUCAAGGGGUGCCAUUUAUUUUGGGGGUGGGGGUGAAGAGCCAGGUGGCAGAAAGUCAAGAGCUCCUCUUACCCCCUUGUCCUAGACAUCACCCCCCACCCCCUGACUCUUGGUGUGGUCUAACCCUGACGGUAUUUCUCCUCGCUCCUUAAUUCAUCUUACCUAUGAGAGGCCCCGAGGAAAGGAAUUUUCCAGAGCCACUGCAGCCCUGAGGCAGAAGAAAGAGCCCCAGAUCCUGCUGUGACAUUCACCCUCCUAUUUUCACAGGAAAAGGAGAAGACAUGAAAAUAGAUGAUGCUGCAGGUCUGACCACACUACGUAAGCAGCAGCAGGUAGAAUCCUCUGCAGAAAGUCCCAUGCUAAGCAAAUCUGGCCAAGGAAAUCUGACCUUUGCAGCGAGAGGCAACACUGCGGUGCCACACAUCUGCAGGAAAGUCUGGGAAAGACAGGUGGGUAAAUAAAAUGGAGGUGGGAUAACAGGGUGAAUUUGGAAGCCAGCAGUUGUGGGGGAAACACAGCUUUACCCUCUCAGGGUUCUUUUUGGCUGGGCCUGAGAAUUAAACUGACACAGACAGAUCUACAGGAGAAACAUGCGCACGUUUAUUUAAUGCAAGUUUUAUGUGACACGGGAGCCUUCACAAGGAAUGAAGAACCAAAGAAAUGGCGAAGACUACUUGCUUUUCUAUUAGGUUGAACAAAGAGAAGCAAUUGUGGAGCUGCAGGGAAAGGCUAAAGGCAGAUAAGAAUUGUUUUAACAAGGUCUGUUUGUGUAGCAGAAUUCUCUCCAACCCAGCUUAUCCGGGAUGAUAAGAAUGUUGCUCUCCUCCUGGUACAAGGAAGACAACUUUCCUAUGGGAAUCUCAUCUCCUGCUUUUAAGAAAAAGAAGGAAGGUUAGAAUGUGUUUCUUGUAUUUGCUGUUUGAAGUGCCUUGACUUCAGAAGAGUCAAUAUGGCAGAGAGGCAUAUCUGGGGUGGCUUGUUCUGAACCCCUUCACCGUGCAGCAUGAGGGGAGGCUGCAUAGGUGGCCGUUAAGAGCAUUAGGCUUCUGGCCAGCCUGGGUUCGAAUCCUGGCUCUGUCACUUCCCAGCUAUACCUCUGGGAGCGAGUUCUUUAUUCUCUACUUUUGGUGGCUUCAUCUGAAAAUAGCACUUACUUCAUGGAGUUGUGAGAAUUAGAUGAGUUAAUGGAUAUAGAACAUUUAGCACCAUGCCUGGCCUAUAGUAUGUGCUUAAUAAACAUUAGUAUCAUUAUUCA
rnacentral:lncRNA from 1 species